GACUGCUUGAUCGUGGGGCAUGUGCAAGCUUAAUUGGACUAAAUGCUGUAGUUUCCUCCAGAAUGUCUGUACCAUCUACGCUUGUACCAGGAAGUAGUGCGGGAGGAUCCCUGCAUUCUCCUGUGUCCAGCUAUCUAGCUGCCUUCCCAUCUGUGGGUGCUCAACGGUCACAUGUUGCUAGCGGCUACGUCAUUGGACAACGCAGAUAUAGAACAUUUAUAUCAUCGCAGAAAGUAACACUGGAGAGCAUUGCUGACCUUUGUUAGGGAACAAAAUCUUGACUUGUCUGCUUUCCAAGUCUUAUCAAAAGCCUGUUUAGGAGACGCGAUAUUUCCAGAAGAUUGGUGGCAAGGUGCCCGUUCCUAUGGUUUCUCUGAGUUUUAGCUGCGAAUCAGGCAAAACCAUCAACAGCGUUUUUGGAUCACGUACCUUGGCUCCCUGCAGGACUGCUUUCAUUGAGCCAUGUUUUGGGACCUUGUCCAAGAACUCAUUAAGAUAUAACCCAGUGAAUAUUGCUGCGCCAGAAAGUGAAGAAUUGCUCAAGUAUGACGGGGGACCUGUCAAAAGGGUGCCAGCUUGAUGGGGCAUUUAGUGGCCAAAUCUGGAAGAAAUUGAGCAGCAGAAUCAAUAAUGAUAAAAUGGACUACAGACUAAAUCCAGCAUGGAAAUGAGUUCAUACUGAUGCGUGGAGGAGAAUGUCAUACCAUAGAAAGCCAAUGCAUAAAUGCAGAAGGAAUGACUGAAUUAGAACAUCAUCACUUGGCAGUCUCCGUAGUCACAGUCGUUUCAAGCAAGAAUCAGCUAUAGAAACUAUGGGUGAAAGUUGGAUAUGGAACAAUAUUUGCAUAAUACCAAAGCAUCUCCUUACAAGACAUUUCUUAAUUUUAAAGGUAAGAAAUACUAACUUCACAGUGGAGAAACCUGGUAAACCCAACCUUAACGAAGUGUCCAAAGUUGACGUCACCAGGAACGGGAAGAGUAGAUACCAUACACCUGGCGUACACAGCGAGGGCACAAUACUACUUCUGAGAUAUUCACGCCAAAAAUACAUGACCUGAAUCUAACCAUGAGGAAACAUUGGACAAACCAAAAUUGAGAGACAUUUUACAAAUAUUUGGCCUGUACUGUUAAAAAAUGUCAAGGUCUUGCAAGACAGCCUACAGAAGUGUUCAGAUUAAACAGCGAAGAGACUUGAUAACAAAGUGCAGGUUUGAGCCUAG
rnacentral:lncRNA from 1 species